CCUACGGGUGGCAGCAGUGGGGAAUAUUGGGCAAUGGGCGAAAGCCUGACCCAGCAACGCCGCGUGAAGGAAGAAGGCUUUCGGGUUGUAAACUUCUUUUGACAGGGAAGAGCAGAAGACGGUACCUGUCGAAUAAGCCACGGCUAACUACGUGCCAGCAGCCGCGGUAAUACGUAGGUGGCAAGCGUUGUCCGGAUUUACUGGGUGUAAAGGGCGUGUAGCCGGGCUGACAAGUCAGAUGUGAAAUCCGGGGGCUCAACCCCGGCGAGCCGUUGAAACUGGCGGGCUGGAGUUGGAGAGAAGUACGCGGAAUGCGCGGUGUAGCGGUGAAAUGCUUAGAUAUCGCGCAGAACCCCGAUUGCGAAGGCAGCGUACCGGCUCCACACUGACGCUGAGGCACGAAAGCGUGGGUAUCGAACAGGAUUAGAUACCCUUGUAGUC
rnacentral:rRNA from 1 species